CUACCGAAGUCAAGGGCGUGAGAUAUGGAAAAGCUGAGGGGCUCAGCCGAAAAGUGCAGCCCCAUCGCCGUGCCGUCUCCGACAUCUUCCUUCACCUCUCCGGUGGUGGCUGCCUGGUCUUCCUCGCGUAGCCUCUCUCUCUCUCUUCCGGUAAUAAUUAGGUGGGCAUUUUCAUCAAUUUUAUCCAGAGCUGAUUGGGCUCAUGGAUGGGAACAAGGAUGAAGCCUUGAGAUCUAUCAAGCUUGCAAAAUCUGCAUUCACAUCUGGGGAUAGGCAGCGUGCAGAAAAAUUAGUCAGAAUUGCUCAAAGAUUGGACCCUAGUGUUCCACUUGAUUUGUUGAGCCCAGCUGAGAAGUCUGACAUCCUGAACGGUGCUACUUGCCACGGCAAAACAGGAAGAGGCCAAGCUUGUGAAAACCCCAAAACACCAAAAGAAUCAGUUGGUCAUGUUAAUGCUGAUCAGGUCUACACUGAGGAGAAUAUUAGAGUGGUUCAAGAUAUCAGGAAAAAGAAGGAUUAUUAUGCAGUUCUUGGAGUAGAGAGGAGAUGCUCUGUGGAGGAAAUUAGGAAGGCCUACAGGAGAUUAUCACUGAAGGUUCAUCCUGACAAGAAUAAGGCUCCUGGGGCAGAGGAUGCGUUCAAGUUAGUAAGCAAGGCGUUCAAGUGCCUAAGCAAUGAUCAGUCGCGGAAGACUUAUGACCAGACAGGAACCAUUGAGGACCAUGAGUUUAAUGAGCAAUAUCCCAAUGCCAUGAGGCGGGGAAUGGCCAGGCGGAGGACGCAAGCAAGAAGUGGCUUCUAUAACUACGAAGAAGAUUUUGAUCCAGAUGAGAUAUUCAGGUCCUUCUUUUAUGGCACCCAUGAUAAUUUGUUUCGUGCCCAGAAUACCUACAGAGCAAGGGGAACAGUUAGGCAACAGCAACAGAGAAGGGAGCAUACAGUCCAGGGUGGUUCUGGCAUAAACCUAACAGUGUUAAUGCACCUUGCAGUAGUAUUGAUUAUUGUUUCACUUGCAUUCAUUCCAGUGCAGAGGCCUGAGUAUUCCCUGCAGAAGACAUAUUACUUCCCCAUAUCAAAGGUCACUCAAAAGCAUGGGGUGGAAUACUUUGUCAGCAAACAAGAUUUUGAUCAGAAGUUUCCACAGGGGAGUCAAUCUAGAGAGAUUCUUGAGCAGUAUGUUUUUAAGGACUAUAAGAAUCUGCUUGGAAGAUAUUGCCAUGUGGAACGUCAACGGCGUCAAUGGGCUAAGGACUACCCUACCCCUAACUGUGACAGGCUAAGGAACCUAUCUGUAGCGUAAAUUGUGCAUAUGUGAUUAGUUUGGUCUCUCAUUUUCAUUCUUGGAAGAAUAUCACUCGUCUUCACAGGCGUAGCACGGCAAUCUUUUUGAUAAAAAAGGAGCUGUAUGGUUUCUAGUCCAUCUGUUUGUGAGACGACACAAAGCCGAUACCUGGAAAAUGGUGCUACAUGUUCUUAUAAUAAUUUUCUACUGCUAUAUGUUCGUGCGAUUUACACGAGUCGUGAAGCAGUAAGCCAGGGCAUACAUGCCUUCUUCAGUACAUGGAGAGAUACGGUGGCAGGCGAUCAGCUGAUUGAAGUUCCGCUGUGCGUGUGUUCCUGCUGAUGAUGCAGCCCAAAAUAUUCGUCUGAAUCAGUUACCGCCUGGCACUUGCCUCCAGAUGCUGAACUUUCCAAUGGAUGUGAAUUCUUGUCCAGAUAUCUGUGAUUGGAAAACCACCAUCAUGGGUGCCUCCACUUAACAGUAGAGCAAACCCUUUUAAAGGCAAAUGGAAACGUGGAAUACUUAUCUC